AAUCUCAUGUGGCAUCCCAAAGGAGCUGGCCAAUGCAUGCCAAUGGUAGAAACCGAAGCCACAACUAAGAUUAGGGAAAAAAGAAAAAGGCACAGGGAAAGAUAAUGCAAUACAAUCAAAUAUGAAAUUAUGGAAAUAAUGCUUUCAUGUCCAACUACGAUUAUAAAAGCAUUUAGGAAGUAAGAGAGGCAACAAUAAAUAGUACAGAAAUCUAAACGGAAGCUAUCCUGCU
rnacentral:lncRNA from 1 species